GACGAACGCGGCGGCGUGCCUAAUACAUGCAAGUAGAACGCUGAAGGAGGAGCUUGCUUCUCUGGAUGAGUUGCGAACGGAUGAGUAACGCGUAGGUAACCUGCCUGGUAGCGGGGGAUAACUAUUGGAAACGAUAGCUAAUACCGCAUAAUAGCAGUUAUUGCAUGAUAACUGUUUGAAAGGUGCAAUUGCACCACUACCAGAUGGACCUGCGUUGUAUUAGCUAGUUGGUGGGGUAACGGCUCACCAAGGCGACGAUACAUAGCCGACCUGAGAGGGUGAUCGGCCACACUGGGACUGAGACACGGCCCAGACUCCUACGGGAGGCAGCAGUAGGGAAUCUUCGGCAAUGGACGGAAGUCUGACCGAGCAACGCCGCGUGAGUGAAGAAGGUUUUCGGAUCGUAAAGCUCUGUUGUAA
rnacentral:rRNA from 1 species